rnacentral:tRNA from 1 species
GGUGGGUUGGCUCAGUGGUUAGAGCGUAGGUCUCGUAACCGAAAGGUCGCGGGAUCGAAUCCCGCUGACAUUU